rnacentral:pre_miRNA from 1 species
AGCUUUCUGUAUCCGUGCUGAGAUUUCGACACACACCAGACCACAAGGGCUGAUGAGACUUCCAAGAUAAGUGAAGCG